CUAUUCUCACUAUGAUUUUGACACUUAAGGUCAGAUUUAGGAUAUAUUAAGAUUGAUUUUAAGUUACUCCGAAUGAUCCACGCGAGUAAGACCACUGUGUUGUUAGGCCUUAACUAUGACACACCCAAACAAUAUGUGGUCCAAGAGGUGCCAAUCAACAGUGCAUAAAGCCAUUUGCUACUUAGGUUUAUACUCUUAACUCUUAAGUACAACAUGACUAAGCAGCCCGAUGGC
rnacentral:lncRNA from 1 species